CAAAGAGUAGUUUAAAUUCAGAAUGCUAGCUUUGGGGGUUAGCGGCGGGAGUUUGAAUCUCUCCUCUUUG
rnacentral:tRNA from 1 species